rnacentral:rRNA from 1 species
GGUAAUACGAGGGGUGCAAGCGUUAAUCAAAAUUACUGGGCGUAAAGGGUGUGUAGGUUGUUUUUGAAAGUUAAUUGUAAAAGUUAUUAAAGCAAUUUAAUAAAGCAAUUAAUACUAAUAAACUUGAGUAUAAAAGAAGAAAUUAGAAUUUCAGGAGUAGCAGUGAAAUGCUUAGAUAUCUGAAGGAAUACUAGUGGCGAAGGCGUUUUUCUAUUUUAAUACUGACACUGAUACACGAAAGCAUAGGGAGCAAACAGGAUUAGAUACCCUGGUAGUCUAUGCAGUAAACGAUGUCAACUAUUUAUUAAAUAACAUAUUUAUUUUUUUUUUAGUGAAAUUAAAAACUUGUAUUUUUAGUAAAAAAGCUAACGCGUUAAGUUGACCGCCUGGGGAUUACGACCGCAAGGUUAAAACUCAAAUGAAUUGACGGGGGCUCGCACAAGCGGUGGAGCAUGUGGUUUAAUUCGAUACAACACGAAAAAUCUUACCUACUCUUGACAUCCAAGGAAUUUAUUA